UGCGGGAGCAGUGCUGGGAGUUCAUAUGUGUGAGUACCCAUUCCCCACUCAGCCGAACUUCCCUGCAGGUGUUCUUCCAUGAGUGUGGUUUACAUUCUUGAGUUUGGAUGAAUGAGUGUGUGUGUGUGUGGAUAUAUAUAUAUAUAUAUAUAUAUAUGCAUAUAUAUGAGAAAUGUCUUUUUCUUUCUAUGUCUCCUUCUUAUGGUUUAUAAUUGUAAUUUUAUUUACAUAUUUAUCUAUUUUUUCUCUACAUUUGUGUGGAAUUCUUUAGAAGAAGUGUGUUUAAAGUGCCUUUGAGGGUGUUGUGAUAAAUGAUUGGUGGAUGAACAAAAUAACUAUCUUUUGUCUCAUGCUUGGUGGGUACAAAGUUGAUAACAAGAACUAUGUAUGGCUAUGAAUGAGUAGAUUUUGCAUUGGGGCCACAACAAUUUGAAAGUUGAUAAUGAGUAAAUGUGUUUUUGUAAAAUCU
rnacentral:lncRNA from 1 species